rnacentral:rRNA from 1 species
GCUUACACAUGCAGUCGAGCGGUAACAGGGGGUGCUUGCACCCCGCUGACGAGCGGCGGACGGGUGAGUAAUGCAUAGGAAUCUGCCCAGUAGUGGGGGAUAGCCCGGGGAAACCCGGAUUAAUACCGCAUACGCCCUUUGGGGGAAAGCAGGGGAUCUUCGGACCUUGCGCUAUUGGAUGAGCCUAUGUCGGAUUAGCUAGUUGGUGGGGUAAAGGCCUACCAAGGCGACGAUCCGUAGCUGGUCUGAGAGGAUGAUCAGCCACAUCGGGACUGAGACACGGCCCGAACUCCUACGGGAGGCAGCAGUGGGGAAUAUUGGACAAUGGGGGCAACCCUGAUCCAGCCAUGCCGCGUGUGUGAAGAAGGCUUUCGGGUUGUAAAGCACUUUCAGUGAGGAGGAAAACCUUCUGGUUAAUACCCAUGAGGCUUGACGUUACUCACAGAAGAAGCACCGGCUAACUCCGUGCCAGCAGCCGCGGUAAUACGGAGGGUGCAAGCGUUAAUCGGAAUUACUGGGCGUAAAGCGCGCGUAGGUGGUUUGAUAAGCGAGAUGUGAAAGCCCCGGGCUUAACCUGGGAACGGCAUUUCGAACUGUCAGGCUAGAGUGU